CAUGCAGUCGACGGUAGCACAGAGAGCUUGCUCUCGGGUGACGAGUGGCGGACGGGUGAGUAAUGUCUGGGAAACUGCCCGAUGGAGGGGGAUAACUACUGGAAACGGUAGCUAAUACCGCAUAACGUCGCAAGACCAAAGUGGGGGACCUUCGGGCCUCACACCAUCGGAUGUGCCCAGAUGGGAUUAGCUAGUAGGUGGGGUAAUGGCUCACCUAGGCGACGAUCCCUAGCUGGUCUGAGAGGAUGACCAGCCACACUGGAACUGAGACACGGUCCAGACUCCUACGGGAGGCAGCAGUGGGGAAUAUUGCACAAUGGGCGCAAGCCUGAUGCAGCCAUGCCGCGUGUAUGAAGAAGGCCUUCGGGUUGUAAAGUACUUUCAGCGGGGAGGAAGGCGGUGAAGUUAAUAACUUCACCGAUUGACGUUACCCGCAGAAGAAGCACCGGCUAACUCCGUGCCAGCAGCCGCGGUAAUACGGAGGGUGCAAGCGUUAAUCGGAAUUACUGGGCGUAAAGCGCACGCAGGCGGUCUGUCAAGUCGGAUGUGAAAUCCCCGGGCUUAACCUGGGAACUGCAUUCGAAACUGGCAGGCUAGAGUCUUGUAGAGGGGGGUAGAAUUCCAGGUGUAGCGGUGAAAUGCGUAGAGAUCUGGAGGAAUACCGGUGGCGAAGGCGGCCCCCUGGACAAAGACUGACGCUCAGGUGCGAAAGCGUGGGGAGCAAACAGGAUU
rnacentral:rRNA from 1 species